rnacentral:rRNA from 1 species
CCUACGGGAGGCUGCAGUGAGGAAUAUUGGUCAAUGGUCGGGAGACUGAACCAGCCAAGCCGCGUGAGGGAUGAAGGUACAGAGUAUCGUAAACCUCUUUUGUCAGGGAACAAAGGCGGGGACGCGUCCCCGGAUGAGUGUACCUGAAGAAAAAGCAUCGGCUAACUCCGUGCCAGCAGCCGCGGUAAUACGGGGGAUGCGAGGGUUAUCGGGAUUUAUUGGGUUUAAGGGGGGCGCAGGCGGUCUGUUAAGUCAGCGGGAAAAGCCCGGGGCUCACCCCCGGCCCGCCGUUGAAACUGGCAGUCUCGAGUUGGAGAGAAGUAUGCGGAAUGCGCGGUGUAGCGGUGAAAUGCGUAGAUAUCGGGCAGAACUCCGAUUGCGAAGGCAGCAUGCCGGCUCCACACUGACGCUGAGGCACGAAAGCGUGGGUAUCGAACAGGAUUAGAUACCCUGGUAGUC